GGGGCUAUAGUGUAGCCUGGUCUAUCACUCGUGGUUUGGGGCCAUGCGACCCCGGUUCAAAUCCGGGUAGCCCCA
rnacentral:tRNA from 2 species